rnacentral:rRNA from 1 species
AUGGUGGAUGACCUGUUUUAUGAGGGCAACACUGAUCACAGCGUCAGCUCUGAGGACGAAGACACACUUGUCAGGAGUUGUAGUAAUCUCAGCGUAAGCUUUGGAUAUCAUUGCAAUUCUUAUCAGAGUUUUCCUCUUGAAAAUGAUGAGCAUGACACCUCUCCCCAGAUGAGGUUUGAAACUAAUGCCAUGACGAAGUCACGAAAUGGCUCAUUUACUUGCUUAUCUGGUGCCGCAAUUAGUGCAAACUUCACACUGGCCAAUACAAAUAUAUGCAAGGGUCUUAUUGGGGAAGAAAUUUUACCAGAACUAGAUUCUCCAAAUUCUUUCAGAAAAAUCGUCUCUUCUCCAUCCAUGUCAAGGUUGGACUUGCUAUCCACCUCACAAGGCAGCCCUGCAUCAACUGAGAGCUCCAUAUUUGAAAUCAGUAAAAAUCUUUGGAGGUCCAGCGCUCCAACAACUGUAUCAUCCAAUUUUCUGACUGGUACCGAGGUAAAGAUGGCUGGUGGAGCUGCUGGAGAGGAUAGAGUCCAAGCUGUGUGCUCUGAGAAAAAUGGAUGGUUGAUUUGUGGAAUUUAUGAUGGAUUUAAUGGACGAGAUGCAGCUGAUUUUCUGGCAGUAACUCUAUAUGAUAACAUAGUAUAUUACCUAUACUUGUUAGAGUGCCGUAUCAAGCAACAAGAUGGCCUAUGCAGCUCAUCAGAGGACUCCCUUAAUGGUGUUAAAAGUGAGUUGACAUUAGCCAUGGAAAUUGCAGAGAAUGAAGAUGUAAAACUUUCUGAAAGUUUUCGAUCUGGUGUGCUGAAUUGCCUCACUUCUGCUGUUGAGCAAGCUGAGAAUGAUUUCUUAUGCAUGGUUGAACAAGAUAUGGAUGAUAGACCAGAUUUAGUUUCAGUUGGAUCUUGUGUCCUGGUUGUGCUUCUUCAGGGAACAGAUUUGUGCAUUCUAAAUCUUGGGGAUAGUAGAGCUGUGCUUGCUUCCAUGCCAUAUGCAGAAAUGGAUACAGUGAAAGCUACUCAAUUGACAGAGAUCCACUCACUUGAAAAUCCAUUGGAAUACCAAAAAUUAUUAGCUGACCAUCCUAAUGACUCUAAAGUUGUGAUGGGUAACAAAGUAAAAGGGAAGCUGAAGGUUACUCGUGCUUUUGGAGUUGGCUACCUUAAACAGAAAAAGUUCAAUGAUGCACUGAUGGGAAUUCUCCGAGUUCGUAAUUUGUGCAGCCCGCCUUACGUAUAUACAAAUCCACACACACUGAGUCACAAGGUUAUGGAAGACGAUCUGUUUGUUGUGCUUGGCAGUGAUGGCUUAUUUGAUUUCUUCAGUAACGAUGAAGUUGUUCAGUUGGUUUAUCAAUUUAUGCAUGAUAAUCCAACUGGCGAUCCUGCAAAAUAUCUCAUCGAGCAAGUUGUACAUAAAGCUGCCAAAGAAGCAGCUUUAACAGCUGAACAGCUUAUGAGGAUACCUGUUGGGAGCAGGAGAAAGUACCAUGACGACGUGACUGUCAUUGUUAUCAUCCUUGGGAACGCACGAAGGACGCUUUACAGGUCUGAAGAUAAAAUGGAAACCGGGAGAGGAUCUAUGAAAAAGACCAGUCUAGUGUGUUGGGUCCUGCUGAGUUUGCGGGAUGCAUUUGCUUAG